rnacentral:rRNA from 1 species
AUACGGAGGAUGCAAGCGUUAUCCGGAUUUAUUGGGUUUAAAGGGUGCGCAGGCGGGAGAUUAAGUCGGCGGUGAAAUUUUGCCGCCCAAAUGUAAAAGUGCCUUCGAUACUGGUUUCCUUGAGGGUGGCAGAAGUAGGCGGAAUUUGUGGGGUAGCGGUGAAAUGCUUAGAUAUCACGAGGAACUCCGAUUGCGCAGGCAGCUUACUAAACCACUACUGACGCUCAGGCACGAAGGCGUGGGGAUCAAACAGGAUUAGAUACCCUGGUAGUCCACGCAGUAAACGAUGAUUACUGGCUGUUUGCGAUACAAUGUAAGCGGCUGAGCGAAAGCGUUAAGUAAUCCACCUGGGGAGUACGUUCGCAAGAAUGAAACUCAAAUGAAUUGACGGGG